GACGAACGCUGGCGGCGUGCUUAACACAUGCAAGUCGAGCGGUAAGGCCCUUUCGGGGGUACACGAGCGGCGAACGGGUGAGUAACACGUGGGUGACCUGCCCUCAGCUCUGGGAUAAGCCUGGGAAACCGGGUCUAAUACCGGAUAUGACUCCAUGACGCAUGUUGUGGGGUGGAAAGCCUUGUGCGGCUGAGGAUGGGCCCGCGGCCUAUCAGCUUGUUGGUGGGGGAUGGCCUACCAAGGCGACGACGGGUAGCCGGCCUGAGAGGGCGACCGGCCACACUGGGACUGAGACACGGCCCAGACUCCUACGGGAGGCAGCAGUGGGGAAUCUUGCGCAAUGGGCGAAAGCCUGACGCAGCGACGCCGCGUGAGGGAUGACGGCC
rnacentral:rRNA from 1 species